rnacentral:rRNA from 1 species
UGGCGGACGGGUGAGUAACGCGUGAGCAAUCUGCCUUACACAAAGGGAUAGCCUCGGGAAACCGGGAUUAAUACCAUAUGAUAUCUAUUAACCGCAUGGUUUAUAGAUUAAAGAAUUUCGGUGUAAGAUGAGCUCGCGUCCCAUUAAUUAGUUGGUGAGGGUAACGGCCCACCAAGAUAGCGAUGGGUAGCCGAUCUAAGAGGAUGACCGGCCACAUUGGAACUGAGACACGGUCCAAACUCCUACGGGAGGCAGCAGUGAGGAAUAUUGGUCAAUGGGCGAGAGCCUGAACCAGCCAAGUAGCGUGCAGGAUGACGGCCCUAUGGGUUGUAAACUGCUUUUAUGUGGGGAUAAAGUGCGUGACGUGUCAUGCAUUGCAGGUACCACAUGAAUAAGGACCGGCUAAUUCCGUGCCAGCAGCCGCGGUAAAAGGG